rnacentral:rRNA from 1 species
UACAGAGGUCCCAAGCGUUGUUCGGAUUCAUUGGGCGUAAAGGGUGCGUAGGCGGGUCUUUAAGUCAGGGGUGAAAUCCUGGAGCUCAACUCCAGAACUGCCUUUGAUACUGAGGAUCUUGAGUCCGGGAGAGGUGAGUGGAACUGCGAGUGUAGAGGUGAAAUUCGUAGAUAUUCGCAAGAACACCAGUGGCGAAGGCGGCUCACUGGCCCGGAACUGACGCUGAGGUGCGAAAGCGUGGGGAGCAAACAGG